rnacentral:rRNA from 1 species
GUACACGCUGUGACUAGCAUAUCAAUAAGCGGAGGAAAAGAAACUAACAAGGAUUCCCCUAGUAACGGCGAGUGAAGCGGGAAGAGCUCAAAUUUGAAAUCUUAAAGGGUUUCCCUUUACGAAUUGUAGUUUAAAGAAGUGUUUUCUGUUGAGGUUUUGGUAAAAGUUCUUUGGAAUAGGACAUCAUAGAGGGUGAGAAUCCCGUAUUUGACCUUUACUUUCAACUUUGUGAUACACUUUCAAAGAGUCGGAUUGUUUGGGAAUGCAGUCCAAAAUGGGUGGUAAAUUUCAUCUAAAGCUAAAUAUUGGCGAGAGACCGAUAGCGAACAAGUACCGUGAGGGAAAGAUGAAAAGAACUUUGAAAAGAGAGUUAAACAGUACGUGAAAUUGUCAAAAGGGAAGCGUUUGACACCAGUGUUGUUUUUCUGAAAAUCAAUUAAAGAACUGUUUAUGCUAAGCUGUUUAGACUUGAUCAGCUAUCUGUUUAGUUUUGAGCUUUUCUUUAAUGCACUUUUCAGUUAACAAGUCAACAUCAAUUUCUUUUGCUGUAAAAAAGCUUGAGGAAGGUGGCUUGAGAUUCGUCUUAAGUGUUUAUAGCCUCUUGCCUAUGCAGUCGGAGAGAUUGAGGUCUGCAGCGUAGAUCCUUCGGGGCUAAAUGACAUUUGUGCUAAGUUAUAGCAUUUAUAGACAACUUGUUGACUAUGAUUUGUCUUGUAGCUUACUCGCUUAUGUUAUUUUACCUACGCUUAGGAUGUUGACUGAUAUGUAGUCGUA